UACACGGAGAGUUUGAUCCUGGCUCAGAAUGAACGCUGGCGGCGUGCCUAACACAUGCAAGUCGAACGAGAAGAAGGGCUUCGGCCCUUUGGAAAGUGGCGCACGGGUGAGUAACGCGUGGGUAACCUACCCCCCAGUUUGGAAUAACGCCUCGAAAGGGGUGCUAAUACCAAAUAUGACCACAGGGACCUCGGUCCUAGAGGUAAAAGGUGGCGAGUCUUCGGACGCUACCGCUGGAGGAUGGGCCUGCGUGACAUUAGAUUGAUGGUGAGGUAAUGGCUUACCAUAUUGUCUACGAUGUCUAGCUGGUCUGAGAGGAUGAUCAGCCACACUGGGACUGGAACACGGCCCAGACUCCUACGGGAGGCAGCAGUGAGGAAUUUUGCGCAAUGGGGGAAAC
rnacentral:rRNA from 1 species